rnacentral:rRNA from 1 species
AACGAACGCUGGCGGCAGGCUUAACACAUGCAAGUCGGACGCCCCGCAAGGGGAGUGGCAGACGGGUGAGUAACGCGUGGGAACAUACCCAUCACUACGGAAUAACUCAGGGAAACUUGUGCUAAUACCGUAUACGACCGAGAGGUGAAAGAUUUAUCGGUGAUGGAUUGGCCCGCGUUGGAUUAGCUAGUUGGUGGGGUAAAGGCCUACCAAGGCGACGAUCCAUAGCUGGUCUGAGAGGAUGAUCAGCCACAUUGGGACUGAGACACGGCCCAAACUCCUACGGGAGGCAGCAGUGGGGAAUAUUGGACAAUGGGCGAAAGCCUGAUCCAGCAAUGCCGCGUGAGUGAUGAAGGCCUUAGGGUCGUAAAGCUCUUUUACCAGGGAUGAUAAUGACAGUACCUGGAGAAUAAGCUCCGGCUAACUCCGUGCCAGCCGCCGCCGUAAAAC